rnacentral:rRNA from 1 species
CAGCAGUAAGGAAUCUUCGGGAUGGACGAAACCCUGAUGCAGCAACGCCGCGUGGGCGAUGAGGGCCUUCGGGUCGUAAAGCCCUUUUCUGGGGGAAGAGCAAGGACUGUACCCCAGGAAUAAGUCUCGGCUAACUACGUG